rnacentral:rRNA from 1 species
CGGGUGAGUAACACGUGGAUAAUCUACCCGACAGUCAGGGAUAACAUUCCGAAAGGAAUGCUAAUACCUGAUACGUCUAAGUUAAUAUCUUUUUUUUAGAGAAAGGUGGCCUCUGAUUCAAGCUACUGUGCGGGGAGGAGCUUGCGUACCAUUAGCUAGUUGGUAGGGUAACGGCCUACCAAGGCGACGAUGGUUAGCGGGUCUGAGAGGAUGAUCCGCCACACUGGAACUGAAACACGGACCAG